ACACCGUUGGUGAAGUGGUUAUCAUGCUUGCCUUCCACUUGGGUCCGUGUUGAAGCAAGCGGCUCGGGUUCGAUUCCCGAACGGUGUA